rnacentral:snRNA from 1 species
AAGUGUUAACAGCUCUUUUAGAAUUUGUCUGGCAGGUUUCCUGGGUUUUACUGGAAAACCCAA